GUGACUAUGUAGGAGGGUGGUGGUGACGAAGGGGUCGACGAGGGGUGGAGGCGGAGGGCUAGCCAGCGAGAACGUCCGAGAGAGGGUUGGUGGCUCGCUACACGGCAUCGGCAUACGGAGGUUUGGCCGGUGGUGUUGGGGGGGUCGGUGUAUGGCGGCCGAUAGAAGCGGCGAAGAGGUGAGGUGGGGGUGCUCAGCACGGGGCCACGGCGCAGUUGCUACUCAGACACGGGGAUGCUCGCAAUGCCUCUAUCAAAGACGCGUCGCACUGUGUUGUUAUGUGUUGUCAUAGUUAUUUCAUUGAAAAAUUAAUUUCACCGUUUUCGAAACUUGCACCGAUUUCUGUCUGUGAAACACAAAGUCUGAACAACUCCUCUUAAGUUUUGCCGAACCCAAAAAUAGAAAAAAGGAAAAAAGAACAAAAAAAAGAAAAAGAUUAAGCAAAAAAAAAAAAAGAAAAAAAAAAAGGAAAAAGAGACUAGACUCGAUUAUUUAGAAAACUUACUUUCGAACGUGCUUCGUUUCAAAAUUACGACGAAUAAGAAGACGACGAGGAAGAAAAAAAGAAGAAAUAGGAAACCAAGAAAAAAUACGAAAAAAGCACAAAAAAAAGAGAAGAAACGAAAUUUAAAACAAAAGCAUUGCCUUAAGGAAGAAGGAGAGUAAUUACUACCUACACCGUCGAAGGAACAAACGAGAGACAAAGGGGGGAUAAAAAAAGGAAACAAAAAAAAACACUUUAGACGUCUACAAAGUAAAUUGUAAAGAAAUGACUAAAGUAUAUUUUUAACAAGUUUUGAGAAAACUUUAGAUUUUAAACGUAAAUUUUAAAAGCGAAAAAUGAAAAAAAAUCAUAAAAUUCUUAAUAAUUAAAAAUGUGAUCUAAAAGUCGUUGCUGCCAAGAGAAGCCUUAUGUCCUUGUUUCAAUUAGUUCGGUUCCAAACCUUCGAGCGGGAGACGCGUUACUGCGAGAAAUUCCCGCGCAGGAGAGGAAGACUGGACAAAGCGGAAGAAGCAGAAUAGGACGAGCAAAGCGGAAGAAGCAGAGGAGUGCGAGUGCGGAAAAAGAAGAAGAGCAAAAGAGAAGUGGAGCGAUUAUAAUAAGCGGGGUUUGGAGUUGUAGUGAUCGGCAACGAAUAUCGAAAUAAAGAGAGAGAGAAAGAGAGAGAGAAGGAGAGAAAUUUGAAGAACAUACAGAGAUAAAAGAAGAAGAAGAAGAAGGUGUCGAAAGAAUCGAGAAGAACGAUAUAGAAACAGCGGGAGAAAGAGAAAGAGAAAGAGGAAGAGAGAGAGAGAGAGAGAGAUAGAAGAUUACGGAAGAAAGAACGUGGAAAGAUAUCGACAGGAAGCUCCAAUAUAAAACCCCGCGCCGCAUACAUAUAUAUUUCAGUGUGUUCAAAAAACGAGUGUACCUAAGUGCAAUAUUAAUUAAACCUAAACGAUAAUAAGAAGCAACCACAACUACUAUCGACGAUAUCGGUAACGACGAGCGGUUAAUCGAUUAUCGAAAUAGAAUUCCUUUUAAAGAGUUAAAGAGAAACGCUAGAGUCGCAUUUCGAGGAGGAGUCGUCGACGCGCGCGAGCCAAACUGGCAAAAGAGGAAGAGGCUCGAAAGUUUCGACCGCACACAACCGAAUAACGAAAAGCGGCGGAAAGCGCUUUUAAAUAAAUAAAAAGAUAAAAACAAAAGUAAAGAGGAGAAAACAAAAAAAAAAAAAAGAAGAAUUUGAAGAUAGUGCACUCAGAGAAACGCACAGAAACACGGAGUGACGGAAAUCAACAAGGAGGACAAAGUUUCCCUCUCGUCCCGGUUACAACUUAAAAAAAGACUCAUACGAAAAAUUAUACACGCACACACACACACACACACAUCAAACAUUUAACGGGGCUAAUACUCAGGGCAAAACGGGACGAGCAGUGACUUUAUCCAUCAGUGUGAUUUCUUACACACCGGUGUAAAGAAUUAAAAGCGGAGAAACCUUCGACCGAAUCCUGAUCGCGUAAAAGCGUGGACUAUACUUCCUCGCUUACACCGUCCGGGCUGGGCAAUCCUGAAUUUUAACCUGAACUUAAGUGUACGCUAGAUUUUAAGUUAGAUAGACAAAAGAAAAACUAGGCUGUUCUCCUUACUUGGAGUACAUCCAUUCGCGCGCGCAUCAAAGAAGUUAAAAGAGAGACAGACAGAUAAAAGUAAUACAUACACAACAGAAACACACACACUAACAUAAAAAAAAAUUACCACACGAACACGGGAGAACACGACACCCUCCUACGCACAACGUCAAAACAGACAAAAAGUAAAAGAAGAAAAGAGAGAUCAAGCGAACCGACAGACGGGCAUCUGUCGAGACGAGAAAGUAAAAGUAUAAUAUCAACGUAAAUACGUAUCGGCGAAUCAGAUCUAAUUCGCGAAGUGACUGGAGCGAAUUCGUAUCACGGCUACGAGAGAAUUGAGAAGAAGCAGCAACAGAAUAAGAAUAAGAAUAA